rnacentral:lncRNA from 1 species
GGAACACUGAGUUUCAGGUUGGGGGUGGAGUAACCGCUUUGAAAUCAGAAGCAAAACUGGGGACGGCAGAGAGUCGGUGCUGAUUGGUCAGUGUUUUCCACAUGUUUUCUGGGAUGCCUGUCUGACCUUGUCUGGCUGACCAGGCGCAGUGCUAGGGAGAUCCUCUGUGUUUUUGAGUUUCCUCAGGAGGUCUUACUUUGAGGAAGCUAUCUACUGCUACAAAAACUCAGAUGCUGUGGAUAAAAAAGUCUACAGGAGGGGACAUUUAUGAGAAGUGUCCACAGACAGUAUCAGUGUUACUACAGAGAAGUUGGCCUUCCUGACAGACACAGCUAUCCUCCGAAGCUGGGGAAAGGAGGCAGGUGAGCCUGGGGG